AAUCCAUAGGUUAAUGAGGCGAACCGGGGGAACUGAAACAUCUAAGUACCCCGAGGAAAAGAAAUCAACCGAGAUUCCCCCAGUAGCGGCGAGCGAACGGGGAGGAGCCCAGAGCCUGAAUCAGCAUGUGUGUUAGUGGAAGCGUCUGGAAAGGCGCGCGAUACAGGGUGACAGCCCCGUACACAAAAGCGCAUGUGCUGUGAGCUCGAUGAGUAGGGCGGGACACGUGGUAUCCUGUCUGAAUAUGGGGGGACCAUCCUCCAAGGCUAAAUACUCCUGACUGACCGAUAGUGAACCAGUACCGUGAGGGAAAGGCGAAAAGAACCCCGGCGAGGGGAGUGAAAAAGAACCUGAAACCGUGUACGUACAAGCAGUGGGAGCACAGGUUUACCUGUGUGACUGCGUACCUUUUGUAUAAUGGGUCAGCGACUUAUAUUCUGUAGCAAGGUUAACCGAAUAGGGGAGCCGGAGGGAAACCGAGUCUUAAUUGGGCGUUAAGUUGCAGGGUAUAGACCCGAAACCCGGUGAUCUAGCCAUGGGCAGGUUGAAGGUUGGGUAACACUAACUGGAGGACCGAACCGACUAAUGUUGAAAAAUUAGCGGAUGACCUGUGGCUGGGGGUGAAAGGCCAAUCAAACCGGGAGAUAGCUGGUUCUCCCCGAAAGCUAUUUAGGUAGCGCCUCGUGAAUUCAUCUCCGGGGGUAGAGCACUGUUUCGGCUAGGGGGCCAUCCCGGCUUACCAACCCGAUGCAAACUGCGAAUACCGGAGAAUGUUAUCACGGGAGACACACGGCGGGUGCUAACGUCCGUCGUGAAGAGGGAAACAACCCAGACCGCCAGCUAAGGUCCCAAAGUCAUGGUUAAGUGGGAAACGAUGUGGGAAGGCCCAGACAGCCAGGAUGUUGGCUUAGAAGCAGCCAUCAUUUAAAGAAAGCGUAAUAGCUCACUGGUCGAGUCGGCCUGCGCGGAAGAUGUAACGGGGCUAAACCAUGCACCGAAGCUGCGGCAGCGACACUGUGUGUUGUUGGGUAGGGGAGCGUUCUGUAAGCCUGCGAAGGUGGCCUGUGAGGGUUGCUGGAGGUAUCAGAAGUGCGAAUGCUGACAUAAGUAACGAUAAAGCGGGUGAAAAGCCCGCUCGCCGGAAGACCAAGGGUUCCUGUCCAACGUUAAUCGGGGCAGGGUGAGUCGACCCCUAAGGCGAGGCCGAAAGGCGUAGUCGAUGGGAAACGGGUUAAUAUUCCCGUACUUGGUGUUACUGCGAAGGGGGGACGGAGAAGGCUAUGUUGGCCGGGCGACGGUUGUCCCGGUUUAAGCGUGUAGGUGUGUGUUCCAGGUAAAUCCGGUUCACUUUAACACUGAGGCGUGACGACGAGGCACUACGGUGCUGAAGCAACAAAUGCCCUGCUUCCAGGAAAAGCCUCUAAGCAUCAGGUAACAUCAAAUCGUACCCCAAACCGACACAGGUGGUCAGGUAGAGAAUACCAAGGCGCUUGAGAGAACUCGGGUGAAGGAACUAGGCAAAAUGGUGCCGUAACUUCGGGAGAAGGCACGCUGACACGUAGGUGAAGUGAUUUACUCAUGGAGCUGAAGUCAGUCGAAGAUACCAGCUGGCUGCAACUGUUUAUUAAAAACACAGCACUGUGCAAACACGAAAGUGGACGUAUACGGUGUGACGCCUGCCCGGUGCCGGAAGGUUAAUUGAUGGGGUCAGCGCAAGCGAAGCUCCUGAUCGAAGCCCCGGUAAACGGCGGCCGUAACUAUAACGGUCCUAAGGUAGCGAAAUUCCUUGUCGGGUAAGUUCCGACCUGCACGAAUGGCGUAAUGAUGGCCAGGCUGUCUCCACCCGAGACUCAGUGAAAUUGAACUCGCUGUGAAGAUGCAGUGUACCCGCGGCAAGACGGAAAGACCCCGUGAACCUUUACUAUAGCUUGACACUGAACAUUGAGCCUUGAUGUGUAGGAUAGGUGGGAGGCUUUGAAGUGUGGACGCCAGUCUGCAUGGAGCCGACCUUGAAAUACCACCCUUUAAUGUUUGAUGUUCUAACGUGGACCCGUUACCCGGGUUGCGGACAGUGUCUGGUGGGUAGUUUGACUGGGGCGGUCUCCUCCUAAAGAGUAACGGAGGAGCACGAAGGUUGGCUAAUCCUGGUCGGACAUCAGGAGGUUAGUGCAAUGGCAUAAGCCAGCUUGACUGCGAGCGUGACGGCGCGAGCAGGUGCGAAAGCAGGUCAUAGUGAUCCGGUGGUUCUGAAUGGAAGGGCCAUCGCUCAACGGAUAAAAGGUACUCCGGGGAUAACAGGCUGAUACCGCCCAAGAGUUCAUAUCGACGGCGGUGUUUGGCACCUCGAUGUCGGCUCAUCACAUCCUGGGGCUGAAGUAGGUCCCAAGGGUAUGGCUGUUCGCCAUUUAAAGUGGUACGCGAGCUGGGUUUAGAACGUCGUGAGACAGUUCGGUCCCUAUCUGCCGUGGGCGCUGGAGAACUGAGGGGGGCUGCUCCUAGUACGAGAGGACCGGAGUGGACGCAUCACUGGUGUUCGGGUUGUCAUGCCAAUGGCACUGCCCGGUAGCUAAAUGCGGAAGAGAUAAGUGCUGAAAGCAUCUAAGCACGAAACUUGCCCCGAGAUGAGUUCUCCCUGAGACUUAAAGUCUCCUGAAGGAACGUUGAAGACGACG
rnacentral:rRNA from 1 species